rnacentral:tRNA from 1 species
GCCGGUGUGGCGAAAUGGCAGACGCACAGGACUUAAAAUCCUGGGGCCUUAAACAGCCGUGUGGGUUCAAGUCCCACCACCGGCACCA